GUGGAAUAUCAGGAUAACAACACCUACAGCUGUGUGCUCAACAAUCCCAUCAGCAACCAAACCAAACUUUUGGACAUCACUCAACUCUGUCACACAUGUGCAGAACUCUACCAACGUUCACAUACUGUACUGCUGCUAACACUUAUUCCAGUGGUUUUGGUCAUGACUGCACUAGGUGUGAUUAUCUGUUUCUACUUAAAACAAGCAAGAUGAGCAAUCUGAUGGAGCAGAAAACAUUAUGCACUCAAAUGAUGAUCUGACAAUCCAACAGACUGCAGUAGAUGUACGUACGACAGAUCUCUGAUACGGCUAUUCCAUAUGAUGCACUCUAAGAUCAUGAACAAAGUAAUUAUAUAACCAAAACUUGGUAUAGCAUGAUCAUGACUUUCAUGCCAUUUGGAUAAAAACAGUGAAAAAGCUUGUGACUGCAUUGAAUUAAUGUGCAUUAAGUAUGAGAAGCAUUGAUAGAGUAAUUGUUGUAUAUAGCAAGUGUUAAGCUUUUUGUUGCUGGACCCUGAUAUGUAUUUUUAUUUGCUUUUACAUAUCUAUAAUAACCAUUAUUUGGUCAUUUUUCUUUGACUGGAUGUCAAUGUUUUAUCUGUUUUAACUGAAUAAUUUAAUCACAUCCCUGAGGCCGUUACAGACAGAUAUCAGGACAAAGCCACAUUUUGUCAGGAAAUAUCAUAACAUUCCUUGUGGCACUGUCAGCACUUAUCCUGCUCAGACUUGAGAAAGAGCUAAUCCAUCUUUUCACAGCUGCCAACAAAACCAAGCACCAUCCUGUCUAGACUUGUGACUUGUCUUGGGAAAGAACAAAUUAAUUUGUAUUACAGUGUUAAGACACACAGUGUGCUCAGUUUAUUUUGGACAUUUGAAAAUUAUGCUUAUAAUAUACCGUAUCAGUGUUUCUGUAUCUUCAGUGUUUUAUUACAUGGCCCUGUUCUUGGGGAACUUCCUGCUGUGAUUUUGAGCCAGUUCAUCAAUUAUGGUUCUGGUGAUUUGGCUAAAGAACCUGUAUGUUGAAUGUUGUUUGUUCAGUAAAUAAACUUGACUGUGGACACUU